UACGGGGGGGAGCAAACGUUGUUCGGAAUCACUGGGCGUAAAGGGCGUGUAGGCGGCUGAAUAAGUGGAAUGUUAAAUCCCCCCGGCUCAACCGGGGAACUGCAUUUCAUACUGUUCAGCUUGGGUACAGCAGAGGAGACUGGAAUUCCCGGUGUAGCGGUGGAAUGCGUAGAGAUCGGGAAGAACAUCAGUGGCGAAGGCGGCCUGCUGGGCUGUUGCUGACGCUGAGGCGCGACAGCGUGGGGGAGCAAACAGG
rnacentral:rRNA from 1 species